AAACUUACCUGGCUGGGGCGCUCAUACGAUCAAGAAGGUAUGGCGUCUGUGGUGAGACUUCCCCAUUGCACUUAAGGGCGAGGUUGACCCGCAGGGCGGCUCCGAACUGGGGUAGGCCCACAGCUAAAUUUUUGAGUGUGGGGGACAGCGUUCGCGCUUCCCCCUU
rfam:Meloidogyne hapla strain VW9 Mh10g200708_Contig62, whole genome shotgun sequence.